UUCUUUUUGAGUCUGUAGGAUUGUCUUUGUAUUGAUGUGUUCGAAGACUGACUUCUUCUGUUCCCAUAACUUAACCUUCCUUCUUUAAAGAGAACAAGGAGGUGGUGGUCAAAUGUCAGUGUUGCAUAGCAGCACUGCAGUGUAGUUUCAUAGGGAAUCUGCAUUUCUUAGACAGAAAAUGUCAGUUUUUCUUAAGAGUCAUAAGUUUUCUGUUCUGCAUAGCUUUUGUUAUCUAUCUGAUCUGCACACAGCUUCAUGGGGAUUUCCAGGUAAUUCAUACCUUUUCUUGUCAGCUAGAUUAUAACAGUGAGUAAUGUAACUAGCUUAUUUUUUUAAUAUUUGAAGAAUUCAGGGUUGGUAACAUAAAUAAAAUUAUGUUGUCAUUGAUCAAGGCUUGUACUUACGAUAAAAGGAGUGAUGAACAAUACUGUAGUCGAUUACUUAUGCAAUAUUGUGAGAGAAAGCAUUUUUCUAAAUGCAUUUCCAUUAUAGACUAUAUUUAUUCUUGAUUUUUUUCAGAACCUAGUAUUUCUGUACAAAUAUUUAAAAUACGUUUUCCCCAAACAGGUGCGUCGCAGAACUUCCAAAAGGGAAAGGCGAUGAGUGAGCAUGUAGUUGUCAGCCUUCCAGAUAGCAGCGUCAUAUCUACGUAUGAAGGAAGGAAGGCCUCUCAAGUGCUCGUUUCCAGUCCCGCAGAUGGGUAUUUCAGUACUCAUGUGAUAAGUUUGCAAUUAGUUUUAACAUAGACAGUUUCUUUGGAGGAUGGCUGACGUCUCAUGCAGUGAUUUAUUUGCCUGGCUGUGCUUCUGAUGCCUCGCAUACAUGGAAACAAAGGAACAUGGUAUUUUGAAAAUCAAAGCAGUAUUAUUGAAUACAUUUCCUGCUUACUCAGCAGUAAUUUUAUUGCAAAUAAACAAACUGUUUGCAUGUCA